AGACGCAGGGGCCAAGCGUUGUUCGGAAUCAUUGGGCUUAAAGGGCAUGUAGGCGGGAUGUUAAGUGCUUUGUGAAAUCCCCCGGCUCAACCGGGGAAUUGCAAGGUAUACUGGCAUCCUUGAGGCAAGUAGGGGUGCAUGGAACUCUAGGUGGAGCGGUGAAAUGCGUAGAUAUCUAGAGGAACGCCAGCGGUGAAAACGGUGCACUGGGCUUGUCCUGACGCUGAGGUGCGAAAGCGUGGGGAGCGAACGGGAUCAGAUACCCCGGUAGUCCACGCCGUAAACGAUGUCUACUAGGUUGGGGUGGUUCUGACACUAUCUCAGCCGAAGCAAAAGUGUUAAGUAGACCGCCUGGGGAGUACGGUCGCAAGGCUAAA
rnacentral:rRNA from 1 species